GACGAACGCUGGCGGCGUGCCUAAUACAUGCAAGUAGAACGCUGAAGGUGGAGCUUGCUUCUCUGGAUGAGUUGCGAACGGGUGAGUAACGCGUAGGUAACCUGCCUGGUAGCGGGGGAUAACUACUGGAAACGAUAUCUAAUACCGCAUACUAGCAGUUGUCGCAUGAUAACUGUCUGAAAGGUGCAAUUGCACCACUACCAGUUGCACCUGCGUAGUAUGUGCUAGUUGGUGGGGUAACGGAUCACCAAGGCGACGAUACAUAGCCGACCGGAGAGGGUGAUCAGCCAGACUGAGAGUGAGACACGCCCCAGACGCCUACAGGAGGCAGCAGGAGUGAUUCUGCAGCAAGGAGCGGAAGUCAGAGCAAGCAAGGCGGCAUCAGUGAGGAGGGUCUUCGGAUGGUAAAUCUCUGUUGUAAGGUUAUAACGAGUGUGAGGCUGGAAAGAAGACACUGUGACGGUAUCUUACGAAGAAGCGACGGCUAACUACGUG
rnacentral:rRNA from 1 species